CCUGGUGCUUAUAGCGCGGGGGAUACACCUCUUCCAUUCCGAACAGAGUCGUUAAGUCCCGCAGCGCCGAUGGUACUGCC
rnacentral:rRNA from 1 species